rnacentral:rRNA from 1 species
AACGUAGGUUCCGAGCGUUAUCCGGAUUUACUGGGCGUAAAGCGCGUUCAGGCGGUUUGGCAAGUCGGGCAUGAAAUCUCUCGGCUCAACCGGGAGAGGUUGUCCGAUACUGCUGGACUUGAGGGCAGUAGAGGGUGGUGGAAUUCCGGGUGUAGUGGUGAAAUGCGUAGAUAUCCGGAGGAACACCAGUGGCGAAGGCGGCCUUCUGGACUGACACUGACGCUGAGGCGCGAAAGCCAGGGGAGCAAACAGG